AUCUAAGUACUUCCUAUUUCAAUGCUCCUUAUAAUUAAACAUGUUACUGUUCAAUCAAUAGUUUGGCACUUGUCUAAGCGACAAACAACAUCAUUGUUAGUAUACUUGCAUACAUUUCAUCUAAAUUCAACAUUGAUGUACUUAUUUUCUCUACAUAUCGCACUUGAGUUUAAUAAUAGUCUCAACUUACACAAUUUCCUUGUAUCAACAUAUCAAAGAUAAUCAUAUAUGUACAUGUCAUGAAACAUAUCAUGCUCUUACCGUUUCUUCAUAAGCAUAUAUCAUUCAUUUCAUUAUAUCAAUAUUUCAUGCUCCAUCAUUUCCAUAUAUUUUAUGUAUAUUUAUUCCGGUAAUAGUUUAUAUCAAACUUGACAUAAAUUAUAUUCCAUGUACUUAUACUUAUUUUGUUUAUUUAUCUUCAUAAUUAUUCCAUACAACUAUUAUGUACAUAUAUUUC
rnacentral:lncRNA from 1 species